UAUGGUCACAUCACAUUGAAACACCUGUUCCUGUACGAUCACCAAAGUUAACAAACAUCAAGCCUUGUCAGUACCUAGAUAGGUGACUGCUUGGGAAUACCAGGUGCUGUAAG